GUAGGGUGCGAGCGUUAAUCGGAAUUACUGGGCGUAAAGUGUGCGCAGGCGGCUUCGCAAGUCGAGUGUGAAAUCCCCGAGCUUAACUUGGGAAUUGCGCUCGAAACUACGGAGCUGGAGUGUGGCAGAGGAAGGUGGAAUUCCACGUGUAGCGGUGAAAUGCGUAGAGAUGUGGAGGAACACCGAUGGCGAAGGCAGCCUUCUGGGCCAACACUGACGCUCAUGCACGAAAGCGUGGGGAGCAAACAGGAUUAGAUACCCUGGUAGUCCACGCCCUAAACGAUGAUGACUAGUUGUUGGAGGAGUUAAAUCCUUUAGUAACGCAGCUAACGCGUGAAGUCAUCCGCCUGGGGAGUACGGUC
rnacentral:rRNA from 1 species